CGGAUUUUUGGCUGGAAUUCCACCACUAUUUUUUUAAAUUUUUGGGGUAUUUUUGGGUGGAAUUUCACCAUUUUUUUUUUAAUUUUUUGGGGUAUUUUUGGGUGGAAUUUCACUUUUUUUUUUUAAAUUUUUGGGGUAUUUUUGGGCGGAAUUCCACCCUUUUAUUUUAAAUUUUUGGGGUAUUUUUGGGUAGAAUUCCNUCGUUAAUUAGGGGUGAGUCGUUAAUUAGGGGUGACUCGUUAAUUAAGGAUGAGGAGCAAGGCUGGAAAAAUGGGAACGGGAAAUUCCACGGGAAUAGGGAGGGAGGAGGAGGAGGAAGAGAAAGGAGAGAAGGUUCUGGAAGGAACACAAAAGACUGGAAGGGCACAGAAGGUUCUAGAAAGGACAGAAGGGGCUGGAAAGGACAGAAGGACACAGAAGUUUCUGGAAGGACAGAAGGACACAGAAGGUUCUGGAAGGACAGAAGGAACAGAAGGGACUGGAAGGCCAUGGAAGGUUCUGGAGGGUUCUGGAAGGGACAAAAAGGAUGGAAGGGACGGAUGGCCACAGAAGGUUCCAGAAGGGGACAGAAAGGACAGAAAGCCACAGAAGGUUCUGGAAGGGACAGAAGAGCAUGGAAGGUUCUGGAAGGUUCCGGAAGGGGACAGAAGGUUUUGGAGGGGUCUGGGAGGGAUAAAACGCUCUGGAAGGGACACAAGGCCAUGGAAUGUUCUGGAAGGGGACAGAAGGACACAGGAGGGGCACAGAAGGUUCUGGAAUGGACAGAAGGCCAUAGAAGGCUCUGGAAAGGGACAGAAGGUUCAGGAAGGGAUAGAAUAGACAGAAGGGCACGGAAUGUUCCGGAAGGGGACAGAAGGACACAGAAGGCCAUGGAAGGUUCCAGAAAGGGACAGGACAGAAGGGACAGAAGGGGACAGAAGGUUCUGGAAUGGACAGAAGGCCACAGAAGGUUCCAGAAGGGCACAGAAGGACACAGGAGGGGCACAGAAGGUUCUGGAAGGGGACAGAAGGACACAGAAGGUUCCAGAAGGAACAGAAGGGACAAAAGGCCACAGAAGGCUCUGGAAGGGACAGGAGGGACAGAAUGUUCCAGAAGGGCACAGAAGGACACAGAAGGGGCACAGAAGGGGCACAGAAGGACACAGAAGGUUCCAGAAUAGGACAGAAAGACACAGAAGGUUCCGGAAGGGGACAGAGGGACACAGGAGGGGCACAGAAGGUUCAGGAAGGGACAGAAGGACACAGAACCCCCCGGAAGGUUCUGGAAGGGCACAGAAGGACACAGAACCCCCCGGAAGGUUCCAGAAGGACACAGAACCCCACAGAACCCCUGGAAGGUUCCGGAAGCGCACAGACGGACACAGAACCCCACAGAACCCGUGGAAGGUUCCGGAAGG
rnacentral:lncRNA from 1 species